rnacentral:rRNA from 1 species
ACCCCUACGGGGGGCAGCAGUGGGGAAUAUUGCGCAAUGGGCGAAAGCCUGACGCAGCGACGCCGCGUGAGGGAUGAAGGUCUUCGGAUCGUAAACCUCUGUCAGCAGGGAAGAAAUUUACAUGUGCUAAUCAGCGUGUAAUUGACGGUACCUGCAAAGGAAGCACCGGCUAACUCCGUGCCAGCAGCCGCGGUAA